AACGAACGCUGGCGGCAUGCCUAACACAUGCAAGUCGAACGAGACCUUCGGGUCUAGUGGCGCACGGGUGCGUAACGCGUGGGAAUCUGCCCUUGGGUUCGGAACAACAGUUGGAAACGACUGCUAAUACCGGAUGAUGACUUCGGUCCAAAGAUUUAUCGCCCAGGGAUGAGCCCGCGUAGGAUUAGCUUGCUGGUGAGGUAAAAGCUCACCAAGGCGACGAUCCUUAGCUGGUCUGAGAGGAUGAUCAGCCACACUGGGACUGAGACACGGCCCAGACUCCUACGGGAUGCAGCAGUGGGGAAUAUUGGACAAUGGGCGAAAGCCUGAUCCAGCAAUGCCGCGUGAGUGACGAAGGCCUUAGGGUUGUAAAGCUCUUUUACCCGGGAUGAUAAUGACAGUACCGGGAGAAUAAGCCCCGGCUAACUCCGUGCCAGCCGCCGCCGUAAGAC
rnacentral:rRNA from 1 species